UGAAGUAUAUCCUAGCAUCAAAAGUCAUAGAUUACAUGAACUCAUUAACCAAAGCUUGAAUUGGCAGCAUUAACAGUGUAAAGACCCUCGUCAAAAUCCAGUCAUUAAGACUCUUUUCGUUGAUCAUGUUUGUGAACCACAAGAAAAUGUUCGUUUGCCUCCACCAAUUGAAAACAAUUUUUAAGACUGUUUGUCUUUGUCUCUAUCGACUGGGAACAGUUUGC